UAGUAACUUGCUCCCUGAGAUAAAGCCCC
rnacentral:piRNA from 1 species